rnacentral:rRNA from 1 species
AUGGAGGUCACCGUGCACUCGUCCAUGCCCGUGAAACCUGACUAUGGUGACCGCGGCGGCCCCUCCACCGACGUCGUCCCUCUCAGCGUAUUUGACAAGGUGAGCUACGACGAGUACGUCACCGGCCUGUGCGCCUUCCACCCACCCGCGCCGGCCAACGACGUCCUCGUGGCGGGGCUUGCCAAGGCGCUGGCCGAGUACCGCGAGUGGGCCGGGCGGCUCGGCGUGGACGCCGAUGGCAACCGCGCCAUCGUGCUCAACGACGCCGGCGCGUGGUUUGUCGAGGCGACGGCCGACGCCGAGCUCGCCAGCAGCCUCAUGCAGCUGACCACGGGGGACAAGCUGCUUAGCAUGUUCCCGCGCUGCUACGGCGCCGACGAGCUGCUGCUGGCCCAGGUCACGCAGUUCCAGUGCGGCUCCAUCAUUAUUGGCGUCAGCAUGCAUCACAAGGUGGCCGAUGGGCACGCCAUCUGGACUUUCCUGUUCGCGUGGGGGCAGGCCACCCGCGGCGUCGCCAUCAGCCCCGUCCCGGUGCACGACCGGACGUCACAAUUCGCGCCACGGAACCCGCUGCGGAUCGAGUUCGACCACCGCGGCAACGAGUUCAAGUCUCACGGCGACAAGUCGGGAGCCCACGCCGGCGAUGAGGCGGUGCUGAUACACAGGGUGCACUUCAGCCGGGAGUGGAUCAUGGCGCUCAAGUCGAGGGCGUCGGAGGGCGCCGCCAGACCGUGCACCACGCUGCAGUGCCUGGCGGCGCAUCUCUGGCGGUGCAUCACCAAGGCGCGCGGGCUGGACGCGGGCGCGACCACCAGGAUGCGCAUCGCCGUUAACGGGCGGACGCGGAUGAGCGGCCCGCGGGUGCCCGCGGGGUACACCGGCAACGUGGUGCUCUGGGCGUGGCCGACGACCACCGCGCAGGAGCUGGUGGACCGGCCGCUCCGGGACGCCGUGGAGCUCAUUUCCCGGGAGGUGGCCCGCAUCGACGACGCCUACUUCAAGUCGUUCAUCGACUUCGCAAGCUCCGGGGAGGUGGAGAAGGAGCAGCUGGUGCCGACGGCGGACUCGCUGGAGGUGACGCUGAGCCCGAACGUGGAGGUGGACAGCCUGCUGGGGAUCCCGUUCUACGAGAUGGACUUGGGCGGCAGCCGGCCCUUCUUCUUCUUGCCCGGGUACAGCAACGUGCCGGUGGAUGGAUUCAUGUAUAUCGUGCAGUCCUUCGAGGGUGAUGGGAGCGUGGACGCCUACGUGCCCCUCUUCGGCCGCACCAUGGAGGCCUUCAAGAAGUGCUGCUACUCC